CACGUAGGAAUCUGUCUUGAGGUGGGGGAUAACUCCGGGAAACUGGAGCUAAUACCGCAUGAUAACUGAGGUUCAAAGAUCGCAAGACCGCCUUGAGAGGGGCCUGCGUUCGAUUAGUUAGUUGGUGGGGUAAUGGCCUACCAAGACGAUGAUCGAUAGCUGGUUUGAGAGGAUGAUCAGCCACACUGGGACUGAGACACGGCCCAGACCCCUACGGGAGGCAGCAGUGGGGAAUAUUGGACAAUGGGCGGAAGCCUGAUCCAGCCAUGCCGCGUGAGUGAAGAAGGCCUUAGGGUUGUAAAGCUCUUUCACCGGUGAAGAUAAUGACGGUAACCGGAGAAGAAGCCCCGGCUAACUUCGUGCCAGCAGCCGCGGUAAUACGAAGGGGGCUAGCGUUGUUCGGAUUUACUGGGCGUAAAGCGCGCGUAGGCGGAUAGAUAAGUCAGAGGUGAAAUCCCGGGGCUCAACCCCGGAAUUGCCUUUGAUACUGUUUAUCUUGAGUGCAGAAGAGGUAAGUGGAAUUCCGAGUGUAGAGGUGAGAUUCGUAGAUAUUCGGAGGAACACCAGUGGCGAAGGCGGCUUACUGGUCUGCAACUGACGCUGAGGCGCGAAAGCGUGGGGAGCAAACAGGAUUAGAUACCCUGGUAGUCCACGCCGUAAACGAUGGAAGCCAGCCGUUGGCAGAUUUAUCUGUCGGUGGCGCAGCUAACGCAUUAAGCUUCCCGCCUGGGGAGUACGGUCGCAAGAUUAAAACUCAAAGGAAUUGACGGGGGGCCCGCACAAGCGGUGGANCAUGUGGUUUAAUUCGAAGC
rnacentral:rRNA from 1 species